rnacentral:tRNA from 1 species
GGGUCGUAGCUCAGUGGUAGGGCGUCCAUCUAACAUGUGCAAGGCCCUGGGUUCAAUCCUUAGCACCCA